rnacentral:lncRNA from 1 species
CUGCUUCAUUUACUGUUUAAUUAUUGCAGUGGAAAUUACCCAAAAAAUUGAUGUUAUUUUGAUUGCUCCUCUCUAAGAGUGGUGUUCAUGUGAUGUUAGUAUGAGGAAUAUACUAAUUAAGUCACUGAGAGGUUGGUCGUGAAGCAUUUACAGGAGUACACUUGAAGCUGGAAGAAAGUCUUUGAUUUUACUGUGGUUAGUCUCUAUUUAAAGAACGAUCCAUUUAAAAAAUAACUAAUCAUAUAAAGUUGAGUUCUAAAGUAGUCACAUGGCUUCCCCAACUGCUUCUCCCAAGAGAAGCAGAAGAGAAAAAGGUGGGGCCAGGAUGUGAAAUGGCAUUUUAUAUCUCCUUGGUCUUUACCUUCUCAUCAAAACUUGUUUGUAAUUUCGUGUCCAAGUCCAAUCACAAACUCUAACACUUGCUAAUAGGGAUCAAACUCCAAAUACAUGCAAUAUUAAAUUUCUUUCACUUACCUGUACUCUGCAGCUCUGCCCAUGUAAACCAGUCAAUGCAGGAAGAUAUACUUUGAGAAAAGGCAUCACCCGCUCACUUUUUCAGAACUUUAGACAUAGAGCUAUCAGUUAAUAUGUGCUUUCCUCUUCUGAACUAUUUCAAGCUGCCUCUUGACAAGUGUGGAAUCAGAAAACAGUCAAACACAGUCAUGCUGGCUUCUUGACCUCUAAACUUGUUUCCUGGUGAAUCCACAAUGAAUCUUCUCAUAGAUAAAAACCAACCAUCUAGUCUGUGGAAUCAUCUUUGCAAAAGCCUAGUGACAUUCUGAUUAUCAGUUAUCUUAUCACAUCCCUUCAGUGGCUUUCCAGAACCAAUGUUUGUACAGAAGUCAGCAUUAUCCAGCAGUGGUGUCGAAACAAGGGAAAGCUACAGAUUGAAGGCUAAUAUGGAGUGAAUAGUUGGAAUGUCUAUAAUUCGUCUACAGAAGUACUCAACUUUGUUCAAUUAGGAUAACCUUUAGUUUCUUUGCCAGAUUAUGUUCGUCCUUAAUUUAUUAUCCCAAAGAGAGCUUUACAGGAUUAUUGGCUUAACUAUUGUUGUGCAGGUAGUACUCAGGAUACGAGAUACAAAGCCUAGUGACAUUCUGAUUAUCAGUAAUCUUAUCACAUCCCUUCAGUGGCUUUCCAGAACCAAUGUUUGUACAGAAGUCAGCAUUAUCCAGCAGUGGUGUCGAAACAAGGGAAAGCUACAGAUUGAAGGCUAAUAUGGAGUGAAUAGUUGGAAUGUCUAUAAUUCGUCUACAGAAGUACUCAACUUUGUUCAAUUAGGAUAACCUUUAGUUUCUUUGCCAGAUUAUGUUCGUCCUUAAUUUAUUAUCCCAAAG